GUGUGGGUCUGGAGGUAAACCCUGUCAAUAGAUGGACUCAGAGAGAGUGUGGGUCUGGAGGUAAACCCUGUCAAUAGAUGGACUCAGAGAGAGUGUGGGUCUGGAGGUAAACCCUGUCAAUGGAUGGACUCAGAGAGUGUGUGGGUCUGGAGGUAAACCCUGUCAAUAGAUGGACUCAGAGAGAGUGUGGGUCUGGAGGUAAACCCUGUCAAUAGAUGGACUCAGAGAGAGUGUACUCUCUCUACAGAGUGAGGAUCUGUACAGGGCCUCUUCUAUAACGGUGUGAUUGUCAGUGAGGAUUAUAUCAUAUUAUUAUUAUAAAUUGACCACC
rnacentral:lncRNA from 13 species